rnacentral:tRNA from 2 species
UUGGUCGGUAACCUGUCCAACUCGGAAUCCGACGGCGAGGGUUCGAUUCCGGUAAA